rnacentral:rRNA from 1 species
GCUGGCGGCAGGCCUAACACAUGCAAGUCGAGCGGUAGCACAGAGAGCUUGCUCUCGGGUGACGAGCGGCGGACGGGUGAGUAAUGUCUGGGAAACUGCCUGAUGGAGGGGGAUAACUACUGGAAACGGUAGCUAAUACCGCAUAACGUCGCAAGACCAAAGUGGGGGACCUUCGGGCCUCAUGCCAUCAGAUGUGCCCAGAUGGGAUUAGCUAGUAGGUGGGGUAACGGCUCACCUAGGCGACGAUCCCUAGCUGGUCUGAGAGGAUGACCAGCCACACUGGAACUGAGACACGGUCCAGACUCCUACGGGAGGCAGCAGUGGGGAAUAUUGCACAAUGGGCGCAAGCCUGAUGCAGCCAUGCCGCGUGUGUGAAGAAGGCCUUCGGGUUGUAAAGCACUUUCAGCGGGGAGGAAGGCGGUGAGGUUAAUAACCUUGUCGAUUGACGUUACCCGCAGAAGAAGCACCGGCUAACUCCGUGCCAGCAGCCGCGGUAAUACGGAGGGUGCAAGCGUUAAUCGGAAUUACUGGGCGUAAAGCGCACGCAGGCGGUCUGUCAAGUCGGAUGUGAAAUCCCCGGGCUCAACCUGGGAACUGCAUUCGAAACUGGCAGGCUAGAGUCUUGUAGAGGGGGGUAGAAUUCCAGGUGUAGCGGUGAAAUGCGUAGAGAUCUGGAGGAAUACCGGUGGCGAAGGCGGCCCCCUGGACAAAGACUGACGCUCAGGUGCGAAAGCGUGGGGAGCAAACAGGAUUAGAUACCCUGGUAGUCCACGCCGUAAACGAUGUCGAUUUGGAGGUUGUGCCCUUGAGGCGUGGCUUCCGGAGCUAACGCGUUAAAUCGACCGCCUGGGGAGUACGGCCGCAAGGUUAAAACUCAAAUGAAUUGACGGGGGCCCGCACAAGCGGUGGACGAUGUGGUUUA